CCCGCGCCCCUUUUUCCUCACUGAUCUAUGCCCUACGGCGCUGCCGUUGCCCAACCGGCGCCGCAAACCCACUGCCACCCUCUCCUCUGCCGACGCCGACGACGCCACUACCGCUGCCCUCUCCGGCCACUCUUUCCGUGUGCCCUAGAGCCACCGUCGGCCGAGCCGCUUCUCUGCCCUAGCGCUGUCUUCUUCUCCUCUCACGCGACGGUUCCUUCUCCAUUUCUUUUCUUCAUUCCGCGUGAGAGCCACCGCCGGCCGAACCCUCCUUCUCUUCCUCUCCCGAGCACCGGUCUCCGGCUAGUAUCCCGUGCCUUAGCCGAGCAACAUUACCGCCGACACUCUCCUUUCCCCCUGUGCUGUCAGAGACGAUCAUCACGGCCGAUCUUCAUGCCCUAGCACUGUCACUGGUUACCCUAUGAGGAGUGCCCUAGCGCCGGCUUACCUUUACUCCAGUGGAUCGUCGACCGAGCAAGGGUAUUCGGUUGGUUCCGGCUACCAUUGUGUUGGCAGCUUAUUGUUGACUCUGCCGAUCCAUGGCUUCCUAGCUGUUGAAGAAGAAGAGGAGGUGUUAUUAGCCAUUACAGCUCUAGCUAUGCUCUUCGUGGACGAUCCUUGGCUUUGGCCAACCUUCCGAUCUUAAGUCAUCCUUUGAUGGUGAGCUAUCAGCAAACCACUUGAAUUCGGGAUUUGAGUUGGAUGCGAUCUCUUGGACUUGUUGAGGACGAUUGAUACGACCUGCGUAUGAAGGCGGGUACCUCUUGACUUAUCUUUUAUGAUAAUGUCUUUGGAUAUGCAUAGUAUUUUAUAACUACA